CCCUUGAGAAAUUUCAUUCUCUUCCACAUUAAGUGAGAUGGGUUAAUGACAGAUGGAUCUCCCUAGAAUGAGAAGGGAAGCAAAACAAACAAUUACACUGAUGACCAUGGGAAGAGGCUGAGCCAAACUAAUGCAGUUUUUACUUUGAAGCACUAAUGAGUGAUGAUUAAAGGAUAAGUUGGAUCUGUACAGCUCCUGGAAAUGCAGCUGCUAGUGCCUGAGGAUGGACUGCAAGCGAACCAAGAGGGAUGAGCAGUCGCAAUGCAGAGCCCAGCAAGCACUGUUUGGAACAGGUAAGUGGUGACAAAAAUGAUGCUGGCUGCUGCAUCCUCCUGAUCCUCAACAUCCCUCCCUGGCUGUGGCAGUACCACUUGUCGGUUUCUCUGGGUCUGGAUUGAAGGCACUUGAGAUGGUAGUUCAUGUUCAGACUCAAAUGUUUAUUAUUUCUUAUCAGUAAAACAGUCUCACUACUGUGAGUUGGCAGUUUUUCAUUAGAAGGCACAAAAUGGCUAACAAUCUCUUGUUACAAGGACUUUUAAGACUAAACUAUCCAAUUAAGAACUGACACCUGGAUUAUUUUCCCUUUUAACCCAAUAACUGAUCCCAAAGAGCCCGCACUGCGAACUUUUCUGCCCAAUUACAAAAUGCCACCCAAACCCAUGAAGAAGAAGGAAGAAGAAGCGUGAAGAAGAAACCCAGGCACCCUGUGCCCUCCAUCUUGCUUCUAUCCACAACAUACUAAAAAUCCCAAACCCUAAAUUUCUCACCAAGUGAUACACCUACGCUACUCUCUACAAUCUAUUUCACACUUUUGUGGAUUCUAGUCUAUCUUGAAGUCUAGGAAACUUUCUCCAUGAAUGAGGGUCAAAGUCAGUGCUCCCCUGGGAUCAGGGCACCCCAGAGCAGACAGAGAAAUAUUCCUGGUGCCCUGGGUUUGCACACUUGGCAGCAGCCCAUCAUACAUCGUGCAAAUGAGAGAAGAAAAGGACUCAGCCCCAGAGCUGUGGAGAGCACUUGGUUUAUCACCCUUUGCCUCUCAACAAGACUGGUAGCAGGGAAGAGAGGAUGCUCUCUGGGGAUGGCCAGCACAAGCUGGGGAUUUUCAUUUCACGUCCUUGCACUGCAAUUCACGCUACACAUGCAGGGGCCAGUUCCUUCUCAGUACAAAGCAAAUGACUUCAGGAAAUUGCAUCAGGACUAGCAUUUAAAAUACAGAAAAUAUACAAUAAUAUAUUUGAAUAGCACGCACUUUGACCAAAAUGACAUUUAGGAAAGGAAAAAGAAAAAAAAAAAAAAGGUAAGUGACCAUCUGCUCCCAAGCUUGUUUCUGCUGCAUAAAGAAUGUCAAGGGUCUUUUUUUACUUUUCCGGAAGCAAACAAAUGGUUUAUUCAGCAGGGAUCAUGGCUACAGCCCAAGACAAUCAGCCAAGUGUGGGUUCAGAGAAAAAAAUGACUUUUCAGCUCUAACCCCAGACCCUCCUUUCCAUUUUUUUUCCCAGCUCAUUAAGUUUGCAUUAACAAAACAUGACCAUUCAAAGGCAGGAAGGCUAUUCAAAGCAUUUGUAUUCUUAAAUGCCUCCAACAGUGAAAGACAAACACUUUACUUGUAUUAUCAGAUGAUAAAGUUUGCUUUUCCCUGUAUAUAAAUUAUAUUACUUAUACAAACACACACAGAGGACAUGGAUCACUCACAUCAGGGCUACAGGUUCAAACCCUUAAGGUCCAAGCUGAGCACAUCACUUAAAGAUAUAGUCAGCUUUAAAGCAUGUGGUUACAGGGGUUUGUGGGAUCAGAGUACACUGUUUUUAUUAAAAUUAUCUUUGUCCAGCUGGAGGCAUCUGUGAUGUGGACAGAGAGGAGGGAGAGAAGAUUGUUUGUGCUGCUGUGCACCCCGUCUAACCUACUCAAAAGCAUGACCAAGGUGUUUUGCAGACAUGCUCCAGCCUCCCUGGUAACUCAAUAAACCCCACUGCACCCCCUCCUUUCUCCUCAGCAGUCUGGCUGCAGCAGGAAAGGGGAGCUGGCAGAUAUGGGUUUCUUGUAGUACUUAAUAGGGCGUGCUCACGUUUCAAAGGCGCGGAACCCGCAGGCACCAUCGGGCACAUAAAGGUGGGGGCCAAGGACCUCCAGAGCCACUCUGCUGCUGUUGCCCAUCUAUCCCCUGCCUGUCCCCACAGCAGCCUACCCAGCGCAGCUCCAGCACUGGAGGAUCACACCAAAGGUGCUCAUGCCUUCCACUGUUUCCAAGUCCUUUGCAAAUGCAGCCCCAGAGGGUGUCAUCUGUGCUCACCCGCUAAAGCAGAUCAGCUACCUGAGGAUCCUAAGUCUGCAGCAAAGAAAUAUGCUGGGCUGCACUGUGGUGCCCUGGUGUGCCCUGUAUCAGGUAACUUGGUAUAAUUAUAGUAAUAUAAAUAAUAAAUAGAAGUCCCUCCUAUGGCUGCAGUGUCAGCAUUAGAGCACGUUCCCUUUCUCUUGUGGAAAGCACUAGCUACUAAUACACAGAGGAUAUACACACUUUAGGAGAGUGAUACAUCAGAAGCAGUUCAGUCAUUGUCAAUAGCAAAAAUCAGGUUUGCUUCAGAAAGAAUUUAUUUUGCAGAUGCAAAACAAAUAAUGGCAUGGCUACAGCAAGCUCCUCCCUGAAAUCCCAACUGUGUUUCACUUUGCUUUAAAUUGUAUUCAUUCAUUUACCUUGGUGCUGAACUGGAGCAUUAGUGUAAGAAAAUUCAGCUUCAGAUGGAAAAUAUUUGAGAAAGCUGGGACCAAAGGGAAGUGGGAAGUUAGCAUGAGGAGGUGUGAGCAGAACUUCAGCCUUGGGUUUCCAGUAGGUCUGAGGUCACUUUAUCCAGAGAGCAGCACCUCAUGUAGACUGGCCAGGUUUUUGCAGGUCUUUGGGAAGGGUAACAGUGGGACUCAGUUUAUAUUGAUUUUUAGGGGGUGGGUUUUUUUUUUUUUGUUUUGUUUUUUGUUUGGUUUUUUUGUUUGUUUUUGUUUUGUUUUGUUUUGUUUUUGUUUGAUUUUUUUUUUUUGUUAGCAUUGUGUGUCAAAAUAGCUGCAAGCUAAAUUUUGAAAUAAGGAUGUGUUUCUGGUUUUAUUCCUACAACAUUUUCCACCUCCCAUCAACUAAGGGGAGUACCUUGAUUCAGCCACCAUGACAGUAUAGCAGGGAGACUGGGCUGCAAAUAUGCCAGUUUAAAUUACAGCACAUUCAGCAGAAUGAAGUGCUGUAAUAUUGUUGUUAAUAUUAUAGCUACUUGAUGGAGCCCAGCCAAGAUUGUGUUCAUGUAACUCUGGAAAGCUUAUACAGGAGGAGAAUCCCUGUCUAGGAGAGACUGGGAGAUGUUGAAACACGUCAAAAAGCCUUGUAAAACUGCUGCUGUGGCCUUGCUGUGGUAUGACUGUCAGGGCUAUAGGGGAACCAGGAACAGACCAAUGGUGUCCCAUGUCCCAGCAUUUGAUGGGUCAUCCACUGCUCACUUUGCCCCAAGGCAGUACUUCUUGAAUUUUGAUACAGUAUUUUUCAGUCCAUGUCUCAGUCUGUAUUAAAUUUUGGUAAGUAUUUAUUUUGACAAAUUUUCUAACUGCCAAAUAGAAUUUAUUCAUUGACAAGAAACUUUGAACUGGAAUGGCAAAUGCUUAUUGCAGUGUUUAUGAUAACCUUUUAUGCUAAAAAUAGCUUUUGUAAACAAGCUUUGAUUAAUUCUCACUGUCAGGAUGUGCACUGUUCCCAAGUUUAAGAACACUUUUUCCGUAGAUGCUUGCUCAUUUCCUUCAGUCCAGCGUCUUGGAACGAGUCUGAAGGCUCAAAAAUCAGGCUUCUCCUUAAAAGAAAUAACUGUGCAGGUAUAAACAACCUCCUAGCAAACAGCCUAUAAUUCCUCUCAACACCUUUGAUCUGACUCAAAGGGGUCUUUCUGGUCAGUUCAGAGGUAGACAAUGAUAAGAUGUGUUUCUACUGGAGGUCACACCAUCACCUGCAAAGAAUUUUCCUGGCCUUGUCUAAUCCUGGUUCCUAUAAGUACCAGUAAGUUGCUUACAUAUGGUGCAUAACUGAUACCAGGCUGCAGCUGCCACUCCAGAGGAGGGUUGCAAAACCUGCCUGAUGCCAGCAGGCAAAAGUUAGGGAAGAUCUAACAGCAGCUUCAUCCUGCAUCAGAGAGAGCAGCUUUGACUCUGACUUGUCUUUUCCUGGUUUCUUGUUUUCCAUCAAAGGAAAGAGAUUUCCCCCCCCUCCCCCUUUUUCUGUCUUGACAGGGCAGUACAUCCUGUUCAAGGGGAUAUUUUCAAUGUGUUCAAUAAAAGCUUUCAAUUUAGAUACAUCAAGAAAAAGCUACUCUUAAACUUGAAGCUUCCUGAAGGGCUCUUAUCUCCAAGUGCACAAGCAAUCUUGGAUAAAGAAAACACUUAUGUUAGUGUUGUUUUGAUUGCAGAGUUUGUAUCUAGCCAGAUCAUUCAGAUACUGCUCCCAGGAACUUGCUUGGAGUCCUGCAGCCAUUGGUGUUGAAUGUUGGGAAUACAGCAACCCAUCAGACCAGGCUUUGAGUCCCAUGGGACCUUUGGGUGCACCUUCCCUGAAAAGGGACAUCACUUCAAGAAGCUGAAGCACUCAGCACCCGACUCACUCUCAUCCCUAGCAGCAUGGUUGGCAUAAAACUAUUUUUCCAAGCACAUAAACCACCCACUUGUGUGGCAGAAAAAGAGCAGAGGCGUGCGUCACCGCUUGGAGAAAGCAAGGCAAGCAGAAACCUCGCUCACUCUGACAGAAUUCUAAAAUUUCAGAGGAAGAGCAGAGAAAGCCACCACCAAUCAAGCUGCCCUGCACUGGUCCAAAGCCCCAGGGUAUUCCAAGGUAAGCCUCCAGGGAGCUCCUGGACAUCUGCUCCUUCAGGAGUCCCAGAAUCAGGUAGGAUAAGAUUCCAUGGAGCUGCGCAUGCACCCUCACACUGCAAUCACAGCAUAACUGGUCCUAAUAAACCAAGAAAGAAAUGGAGAAGCUCAAAUUUCUUUUGGAAAUGGGGAAGCCAAGCUGAGGAAUGGGUCUGGUGACUCCAUUCAGGACUUGGCUACACAAAUGGUGGUCAGGAGACUUGAGAAGGAACAGGGAGGUGCCGCUUCCCAGCAAGAACUCUCCCAGGGCUGCAGGAUGAUGUGCCAGUGCCGCACUGCUUAUGGGCGUGCAAGCCAUUGGGAAUGGAAGAGUUCCGGAGGCACAGGCAGUUCUGUGACACAGAACACAAGUACAGCACUGUAUCCUCGGGACAGCUGUUUACAUGAUUUCCCACUCCUUCCUGGUGGGUUUAGUUUGCACUCUGAAAAUAGAAUUUAUCGGCCAAUGCACGUGAGAAAAGAUGACAAACAACUGGCAACUGUUUGCACUCCCAAGGUGAAGCUUCCAAAUUUUCAUAAGCAGUUCUCCAUGCUUCCUAGAAUCCAAACACCAAACUAGUCCCAAGGGUACACCCAUGCCCAGGAACAGACCUCUUGAUGCCACUGAGUGAAAACACCCCAGGUGAUGUAGAAAUGCCUUGCAUGGAUCCCAGGAGCCAGAUUCCUAUCUCUUUUGCUCAUUGCAGGCCCUUACAACACAGCUUCACUGAAAUCAGCAGGAAUGCCUGCAGACAAAGGUCUUGCACACCCGGGGUGAAGAUCAUAAUCUAACUUUCUGAAGCCUCUCUUACUGCAGGACUGGAAACUUCAGGGAAAGCAACUUAUUGGCAAAACCUGAAGACCCACAUAACCCAUCUGCUUUAAACAGUCUUGCAAAACUAUUGUGUCAGCUUAGGAGUUGCCUUCCCAGUGCCCACUGCUGUGACCGCUCCAGGCUCCAGCAGCCAGGAAAACUGCUGAGGGAGCCUCCCUCAGCCAGAGGCUGCACUGCUGCCACUGUCCUGCUGCAGUAUAUCCUCAGAAGGUACCUGUGACCCAGAGGCAGGAAGGAUCAGCCCCACAAACAAUGGGGCACCCACAUCAUACCCCUCCUGGGAGCUUCAGCACACAGCGUCACUCACUGAUCCAAAGUUUGGUUAAGUGCCUACCAGUCCUCACCUCAGCAGCCACGGACUGAGCUGGGGUUUCAGCCCUGUUUCCACUGCCUGGGACUGUAUUUGCUCUCUGCAGUUAAAAUCCCAGCAGUACUUCAUCUCCACCAGGAAUCUCUGCCCACCACCUCCACCCAUCCAUCUGCCCGGUCCUUCCCGCAGGCUCUUCCAACCCCCUCAAAGCCCUCGGUACCCACGCAGCUGAUGAGAGUGCCAGGCAGUCAGCGUCACGGGUCCUCCCUUCUGUCAAGGACAUUGGUGGCCUCCUCUAAGCUGAUGGAGGGGACUUGCCAGGACAGCAGUCUUCUCCUUGGGGUUUCGCUGCUCUUCACGAGUCCAUGUGGGUCGAUACUCAGGUUGUACACACACACACACUUGUUUAAGAUUCAGCAGUGCAGCGACUGCACUGAAUUACACUCCCACUCCAGAUCCCAGAAGCUUUCAGAGAAACUGAAAUGCACACCUUGCAGAAAAAUAUCUCAUAAGUAAGCCGGUAGCCUUCACUCGUACCUACAUUCUGUGUGACACAUCCGGACAGCACUUUGAAUUAUGCAGUUCAGACAGACCCGCUUGAGUUUACUUCAUGAUUUUGGUGACCCUUGGACUUUGCUUCAAACUGCCAUGUAUGCAAGCUAGUAAAACAACAAGCAUAUUACUUUAUAUCCAAUGGCUGGUUAUUAAAUGUUUCUAGCUUCAGCACUUUAAAGGUCAAGAAUCCACAGUUAAUUAAGUUGUCACAUGUAAUUUCUCUAGCAAAUGUUCAUUUUGAAUGGUUUAGAGUUAAAGCAUCAAAUGCCAACUUGCAGAACAAGAAAAAUACAUUCUGCUCAUGCAAAGAUAAGAAAAUACUUUACAAUACAGAUAAAUGAAAAAUCAGAUGCUCAGCAUAAAAAAAAUCAAAAUAAAACUUGUAAAAACUCAAUAGAAGUAUUUUAAACGCCAGUCCUACCUUAGAUAACAAAAAAGAUUUAUUUCAAACUAGCAAAUAAGUUUUUGCUGAGUUUGUAUUUUGCAUUACUUUCUGCUUGGCCAAUCUCUAGUUGAUUUGAACCAGAAUAAUAAAAAAGGAGUUUAGCUGACUGUGAGGCACUCCAUAGCUGUCUCAGAACACACUACUUGACUGCCCCAGAGAUGUGCUUCCAGACACCAAGCAGCCAGCAGUCAUGCUUACUUAGCCUUAAAAUUCCUUUCAAAAGUAUUUGUAACCAUUCUACUUGACAAGCAGUUUAUUCUGGAUGGCAUGCUGUGCUUUUGAAAGCUCCCUCAGUUAAAGUAAUAAAAGUGACCCUCAGUAAAUAAAAAGUGCUAGAAGCAGCAAUUUACUCACUCCCCGCGAACUCAGGCCAAACUAUGAAAACUGUGCAGGAAACCCAUACACAGUGCCAUGCAGAUCUCUCCUUAUACCUCUUUCCAGUGAAAAAAACUUUCUAAAGCUUGACAAGACACCAGAUGCCCAGAUUCAGCACACCAGCAAGAGCAAAAGGAAGGGAAAGGACACAGUUAUUUUCAGGUAGAUGAUAAAAAAACCCCCAAAACCAGUUUGAAACACGUGGAGUGCUCAUGGAGGACAAGUGCUAAAGCAGCAUUGCUGCCCACUGGGAUACAGUACCCAGUACAGAGACAAAAUAAACUCAAAGGAUGCCAAAAGGGGAAUUUGUUAAUAAAGGAAAUGAAAGUUCGAAGGUAACAAGAAAGGCAACUAACAGAAAGGGCUAUUACAAAAAAAAGGAAAUGAAGUAUCUUCCACCCUUCCUUUAAAGCUGCCCUAACUUACAGUAACUCACCAUGAGCUCCUUGGCUUGUUUGAGGAAUUUCUUGUGUUUCUGUACAUACUCAUUAAAUAACAAAUCCCUGCUAGUUCAGCAAAGCUUGGCACCCACUGCCAUAGCAAUAGACAUAAUUCCUUCACCAGAGUCUCACCAAAGGUGAGAUGAUAGGAAAAUGAGAAAUCUGAGUGUCACAGGCACAGAGGAGGGAAGAGUCUGCAUUAAGAGUGAGGAACUCAUUUCCAUUCUCAUUAGGAUGUUUGGCACAACAAUAGAGGAUUUGGCUACUACAAUUACAGUAUCAAGAGAUGAGGCCUAAAUGAUUACCAAAGUUUUGGUGCCUUCAAACAUAUUUAUGAUUCACUAAGUCCUUAUCACGCCAAGACCCUCACAGCUGACAGUAACACAGCCAGGAAUAGAUUUUCUUUACAGGGGAUAAAUUUAUAUGUACCUCAAAAGCACACAUAAGACCAUAACUUCUCUAGUGUCUGAAGCUCUGAUUGCACCUUUAGUAAUAAAAAUUAAAAUGCAUUGGGUUUGUGUUUUAUUUAUUUUCAUUAUCAUUCUUGGCACUGAUUUGUGGAAAAAAAAUAAAAAAGAAAAAAAAUGUACUAAGAGAAAAAGUAUUAUAGCUAUACAGUUUUAAAAUGUUUAUAGAACUGGCAUUUUUUUUAUACCACUAACUGCAUUUAAUGUAGCCACUAAAAGAAAAACAUUUUACAAUGCAAUUUAAGGUAUCACUGUUAAUACUAAAGUUAUCACAGCAACUGUUAGCACUUUGGCAGUUCAAUAUGGCAAACCUUGUUGCUGCAACCUCACUGAGGUUGCAGGAGCACGGACAUUUUUAAAAGCAUUUAGGUUCAAGUAUGUCAAGAUAGUCUGAUAAAUUUAAUCACAGUAAGCAAUACAAUGUCUAAGGAUUUAUGCUCUUCAUUUUUUUUCUCUGGUUUUAUGAGUACCUUGACCAGAAAGAUAAGUAUUAGGAUUUCGGUAGCCAUUAAUCUCUUCCUGGAUUAUUUUACGAUGCCGAGAGUGCCAGCCUGUCCCGCAGCUGCCACGCCAGCACAAGCCUGGUACCUCAGAGGAUGUGCCAAAUGCUUUGUGUUCAGCGCAAGGCACAGCCCCAUGGAACCACCUGAGGCCCGCAGCGAGCAGAGAGGAUGCCAGGCUGCUGAUCAGCUAUUGGGGCAGAUAGUGGCACUGCCUGUUUGCCUAUAUUAGGGCUGGAUGACUCUACUCUGGCUUGGCUUUCAGGAAGUCCAGAAUCCUGCUCCAAGUCACUGCAUGCUCAGAAAGCACCAAUGCUGCUCAUAGAAGGUCAAAACAGCUCUGGGUCACCUUUGUAAAGCUGCUGCAGCCCACAUUUAAAACAGAUCAGUGAAACACACCCUCCAUCUUCUCAAAAUAUUAGAGACAUUUGGAGAGAAACAAGGAGGACAGCAUAUAGUCAAAUCUCAGUGGGCCAGCCAUUCAUCUCAGCUCAAGUCUUCUCUCCCCAGACUGGUUUUGCACUGCUCUGCUCCAUCAAGAUCAUGGAUUCCUUCCCUGUGGCAAUCAACUCCACCAGCCAAAACAAGGCAAGCUUCAGAGAUGACCCGCAGACUGAAGAAGGCCCAGCACCAACCACUCUAAAUAACACAACAGAAAUGACUGUUUCAACAUUGGCCAAAACUGAACUUCCUUUUCAAUCAGCCAAAUUUUUUUAUUGUGCAUGAUACAUGUAUCACUCUGCUUUUCUCUCCUGGAAUGGCACUGCAGCGGUGGGGAUAAGGUUCUCCAAUCCCUGAGAAGAAAUCAGCAAGCCAUAAAGAUGUAGAAAUCUUCACCAAAAAGAGCCAUGAGAGGCCAUCCACCAAAACCUCUCCACAUCACCUUUCUUCUCUUAUGCAUCUCCAGGCUCUCUACAGAUAAUGGACUUCAAUUUCUGUUGAUUUUCAAGAAAACUUGAAAACACUGGGAAAAAUCUUCAAGGACUGUAAGACAACAGCCAUUACCAGAACAAACCCAUGUGGAUGAAUAUUUUAACCACAGUUUCUCCACUUAAGAGGAAACCAGUCUCUCAAAUCACUAAGAAUCAAACAGGAGAUUUUCAGGACUGAUACUAAAUAAAGUUUCGUUAUCUACCAAUAAAUGUUUACCACAGCUGAGAACAGUUUGUUUAGCUUUAACCAACAAAGCCUGGCAAAACCUUUCUAAAAACACAGUGAACAAAACCAAUCCACCAUGUAAGAAGUGGAUUUAAGAAGAAAGAGGCUCUCCUCUAUUUGCUAUAUUUUCAAUUAAACUCCAACUCAUAGUGAGGUAGGGCGUAGGUCGUUGCCUCUGCAGACACAGGGAUUUUGUUCAUUGUGAUUACAGCAGGUUUUAUUAAAAACCUGAAUGAAGAUUUGUUUCCCUGAAGCUCUAGCUUGCAAACAGCUCUGGGAGAAGGAUGAAUGACAGCGUCAAGCCUCAUCAGCCCAGAAAUGAAGAAUGCCAACAACUUGUCUAACCUGUAGAUCAGAGGUUGCACGAUUCACUUGAAUUAAAACAAUUUGAAUCUGAGCAUUUCUUUAAAACAACAGUCUGACCAAUUUGAGCAGCUUUCAAGGAUGGAGAACCAAAGCCAACCCACUGCAGCAUUUAGAAACUUGCUCUACUGGUCAGUCACCUUCACUGUCAAAAUAUUUGUACAGAUUUUCUUUUUCCUCCAUUAUAAUUUAUUUCUUACUGCCUAUUUUUAAAGGCCUUAAGUUAUUUUGGGCCCACUGGUGUAACAACCCAAUACCACUUCACUUGCAGUCUCUGUUCAUGCUGUGAAAAACCUCCUAACCAACAGGUCUUGCAUCACUCCUAUGUUCUGUGCAGAAACUAGGUGCAAAUUCAAACCCAACAUUUAACAUGAGAAAACAUCAGGCCAGGCAGGAAAGAGCAAAGAAUUACAGAGUCGAUUUUGGAGAGGGGAGAAGAGAGACAGAGAAACAAGCAAGAUAAGCUGUGGGGUUUUGGGAGAAAAAAACCCACACGCGCGCAAGCGCUCCCCAGCCCAAUUCCCAGAAAAUGCAGGGUUUGCCUCUGGUAACGCUGUUUCCCCUUCUGCCUUCCCCUGUGGAAACAGGCAGCAGCUCUACACAGCGAGUCACUCCUCAGGUGCUUCCAGAGUCACUGUUGUCACUCGUACUCGCUGUCACGCACCGUCAGCGCUCGCUGGGCCAGGCAGGAACAUUUCUAGAGACAGAUUGCUCUGGACAGUAAAACCCAAAGAGUGCUUACAGGCAGCAGCUGCAAAGCCUGUUUCUGUGACCUCUCCCUCCCCAGUGUUUACAUGGGAAGGAUGGAAUGCCAUAGAGCAUACCCUCUGAGGUACAGUUGACUAAAACAGCUUUGCAAAGCCAAUCUCAAAACAUGUCUUUCCCACAUUUUUGGGAGCUGCAUUUAUUUAAAUUAUCAUCUUGAAGUAUUAAACUCCUCACUUCCUGAUUUUAGCAUUAAAAACAAAACAUUGGGAAAAACAUACUUGCCAUGAGAUGUCCCAUGUCUGACCCAUCUGACUCCCACUCAGAGCAGGGAUCCAAUACUGACACUCCUCCCCAUGCACAAACAGGGGACCCGAGGAGAGGAGUGACAGCAAAACCACCUGAAACUCCAUCCAAACAAUGAUACUUGUGGUACAAAGGAAGAGGACACAGUGGACACAACAGAGCUCAGGAUGAAGGACUAGCCCGUGAUACUACAAAGGCAAGGUGUCCCCUCCCAAGUGUUUCUUGGAGGAAUCACAUCACACCUGCCCUGGGAUCAAUUCUUGCCUCAUCACACUAACUUCAAUGGAGUUAUCCUGACUUGCACCAAUGGGAGAUUGGAACACAACUCUUCAAAUAAGUUUUAUGUUUUCUUGUGUUCUUCUAAUGCCAAAAAACAGGAAAUACUUUUCUCUCAGACUCUCCUGGGACAUGUCACACUCCUUACACCAGAUCAGCUAUUAAGAGGCAGUGACUGUUCAGCAUGGGAAGGAACAUCUAGAUAUCCACAUCAGCUCUGUUACUUGGCUACCAAGAAAGAGGGAUAAAGAUUUAAAAGAGAAAGUAGGUUGAAACAACAGUUUUGGGAAAAGUUUAAACAAAACAAGGGCUCUGCAAGGAAAAAAAGUAACUUUUCCUAUAAAUCUAUUAUAGAAAACAAUGGGAGUUUCACAUAAUUCCAGAGGCCAUGAGAGAAUGAAUCUGUAACUGGUCUGUGAUAUAGCAUUUCCAAUGACUCAAUAAAAAUCCAUUUCAGUAGAGAAAAAGAAAUAAAAUAUUGGGGAGCAUUUGAAAUGAAAACCAUAUAAAAAACACAAGAAAGACCACAAACAGAGGUUCAUUAAAUUAUGUUCUCUUCCACACAGGAGCCUGAAACAUGGAGAGAACUGGAAACCAGAUUUUUAUCAAACCAUCUCUGGAGGAAGUAGAUAACACAAUUCAGAAAAUGGGAUAAAGAUUUGGGAGUGCCGUCAGCAGAUUUAGGGAGAGGAAAGGGAAAGCACACAACCAAAAAAAAAAAUCCCAUGAGUGCAGAAAGACUUCAAGAAUAUGGAAAACAUUUCCAAGUGCAGAGCUAGAAUUAGAUAAAGAGAGGAGUCAAGAACUUUUCACCCUAAGUGUCAUGCUUCACAGAGGGGAAAAGGUGCAGGUGUGCCUGAAAUACAGGAACAUCUGGACUUUGUUAAGUCCUAGUUAUGCAAGCACAGAUCAUCUUAAUUAACCAGGCUUUGAGAACUGUCAGGAGGACAAAGAUUAAUUCUGUUUAACUCCAUGAAUAACACUUUUUAAGAACAAAAGGGUUCAGCCUGCACAGUAGCUUAAUCAAGAAAGAUACACUUAUUCCCACAGGGAUCCAGUAAAGAAAAGGAAAAGAUACUGGAUAAAAACUUAAAAUGGAAGAUGAAAAUUUACCUUCUAUUAAGCAGUACCUUCAUACAAAUAUAUAUGACUGCAACUGUGCAGAUACAACUCAGCCCUCAAAAAACCACCAAAAAAACUAAAACAAACCUUAUGUCAGGAUCUAUUUUCUGUAUGCUCAAGUAUUUUUUCCCAUGUUUCUGCUCACAAGCUUGCUGUAUCCUCACCCAUGGCAAGUUCCCAUGGCCACCUGCUCAGCGAGCCCCGUGCUACCCCUUGUUCUUGCAAGGCCACUGCCAGCCCUCCUCAGAAAGGUAAGUGCUCCCCUAGUGAAAACACCUGCCCUGUGAAGCAGAGUCCAUUUCAUUUAUUGAAAAGCCUUUUCUAAUUUGGCCUGAGUAAACUCCAUUUCAUGGCUGUCUGCCCAAAUAUCUCUGAUCUUACAUGCUUUAUCCCUGGUCCAACUGCUCACCUAAAUAACCUAAAUUGGCUGAUUUUCUAGUUUGCUUCUGGCACUCACAUCACAGGCCAGGAGGAGCUGAGCCCUUUUGUCCUCCUCCCUGAGGGUGAAUUGGAAGUUCAAACUAGAGCUUAGUCUAAGACUAGCUGUCCUUAGGAUUUAAUUCUGCAUCUCCAUCUGUAUUUUACACUGAGUUUUCACCAGAGGUGUUGUUUUCCUAUUUCCUUUCAUGCUACUGUUUCAGUAGUUUUGGGAGCUACCUCUCUAUUUCACUCUGUCAUCAGGGAACUGGGGACCAUUUUCUGCAGUGAAACUGUUUUGUUCAACAUCCAAUAAAGAUCACAAAUAAGUAAGUAAAUGUGACAAACAGCAGAGUUUCCCCUGUAUCUACACUGGCAUUCACACCCCGUCAGUUUUGUUGCUCCAUUUUGUUCUCUCCCAGGUGUAAGCACAGUGCCAACACAUUGCACUGCUUUGUUAUCCAGCCAUGGCAAUACAGCUUUGAUGUUACUCAAAGUUUAACUCCACUGAAGUUGUGUUUCACGUGCCAUGUACAGAAUCACCUUGUGCAUCACAUCCCGCCUGCCUGUUGCUCUACACUGCAAACAGACCUCUGCCACCAUACCUUCAGGUUAUUGCCCUAAAUUUGCAUUUAUAUCAGUCAACUAGAACUUAGGGUUUCUUACAGUAUGGCAUUGUUAUUACUCCAUUGUAUUGCUAUCUAAAUAUUAUGCCACUAAGUUCGCCUUUGAAGACAACUUUCAUGUAUUUGACCAGUAUUGACAAAAAAGAAUUCAGUAACUUGCUCUGCCAUAAACACAUUUUUAAUAGCACCCUGCCCUUUUUUUUCUAAACACUUUGAAGCUGCAGUGAGAAUAAAGGAUUACCCAGAGAAUGGGCAUAAUACAGAAGCAAUGCUCAGAAUAUUAUAGCAUUACAGAUUUCUAAAAACAGCCUCAGCCACAAGAAAUGCUAAGGCACUACAGUACAAUACAGACCCACAUCGCUUACAAG